UACGUAGGGACCAAGCGUUGUUCGGAUUUACUGGGCGUAAAGGGCGCGUAGGCGGCAAUUCAAGUCAUCUGUGAAAUCUCCGGGCUUAACUCGGAACGGUCAGAUGAUACUGCUUUGCUCGAGUGCGGAAGGGGCAAUCGGAAUUCUUGGUGUAGCGGUGAAAUGCGUAGAUAUCAAGAGGAACACCUGAGGUGAAGACGGGUUGCUGGGCCAACACUGACGCUGAGGCGCGAAAGCCAGGGGAGCAAACGGG
rnacentral:rRNA from 1 species